rnacentral:rRNA from 1 species
UUUUAUGAGAGUUUGAUCCUGGCUCAGGACGAACGCUGGCGGCGUGCCUAAUACAUGCAAGUCGAACGCUUCUUUUUCCACCGGAGCUUGCUCCACCGGAAAAAGAGGAGUGGCGAACGGGUGAGUAACACGUGGGUAACCUGCCCAUCAGAAGGGGAUAACACUUGGAAACAGGUGCUAAUACCGUAUAACAAUCAAAACCGCAUGGUUUUGAUUUGAAAGGCGCUUUCGGGUGUCGCUGAUGGAUGGACCCGCGGUGCAUUAGCUAGUUGGGGAGGUAACGGCUCACCAAGGCCACGAUGCAUAGC